ensembl:lncRNA
UUGUCUUGAGGUUAUUUCCUUCCUAAUAUAGUUUCUUCAUAUGGGGUUUGAUUUUUGUUGUUAUUGUUUCAUUUGUUUGUUUAUUUUCAUUGGUAAUGCAGAGUUUUUGUAAUGCUCUCUUUCCAUUUCUGUUUGAAUGGUGUACAAAUGGGUAUGUUCACACAUACACAGACUGGGCCCAGGUGCUGCAGUUCAGGCUCAUCUAAUGAAGUAAAUGCAAUUUUUACUUUGAGUCAAAAUUUUAUGCUAUUUUUCCUUUAUGUACUUUUUUCUCCAAAGGCAAAAAUAUUACAGCAUCUGUGAUUUUUUUUGUUUGUUUACACUAUUGCAUAUGCAAUAAAUAUAAAAAGAAAUACCCCAUGUGAGAAACCACUAAGUUAUAUCAGGAGCAUUGUAUAAUUAUGGGGCUUGGAAUUUAAUAUUGAAAAAAACCUGAUGGUUUCAAAAUAUCAUUUCAAGAGAAGAUGUCAUGGUUUACUUUGCUAUUGGUAUUCCACAUCAUAACAUCAUGAACAAAAGAGAAGAACUACGUAUCCCAGAGGACCUCACAGUCAGAGAAGGAAGAUACAUCACGGAAAAUAUGUCAUCUGGUUGCGUGUGGUCUUCUUCACUUUCGCUUGCUACUGGGAGAGAAGUGGGUGUGCUUUCAAGCCGUGCACCUUCAUCAAGUGAAGAGGAGCCAGACAAAGUCUACUGAGAUUAAAAACACUUUGAAGGCCUCAACAGUUUUAAAAUUCUGCACUCAGUAAACAGAGAUUGCCAAGUGAAUGUAUUUGAUGCAGACCAAUGGAUUGAUGCAGCGGGAGCAGCAGUGUUAAUGUGAGCCACCCAGUUACAAGAGAUGAUGAGCAAAUAUGAGGACUACACUUCCGGAGUGUAAAAUGAUGAUAGAUAAUUUGUUUUAAACACAGC